rnacentral:rRNA from 1 species
GACGAACGCUGGCGGCGUGCUUAACACAUGCAAGUCGAACGAAGAGCGAUGGAAGCUUGCUUCUAUCAAUCUUAGUGGCGAACGGGUGAGUAAUGCGUAAUCAACCUGCCCUUCAGAGGGGGACAACAGUUGGAAACGACUGCUAAUACCGCAUACGAUCUAAUCUCGGCAUCGAGGAUAGAUGAAAGGUGGCCUCUACAUGUAAGCUAUCACUGAAGGAGGGGAUUGCGUCUGAUUAGCUGGUUGGGGGGGUAACGGCCCACGAAGGAUGGUGCGUAGCCGGUCGGCGAGGAUGGACGGCCAACUUGGGAGUGAGACACGGCCCAGACUCCUACGGGAGGCAGCCAUGGGGAAUCUUCCGCAAUGGACGGAAGUCUGACGGAGCAAGGCCGCGUGAGUGAUGAAGGCCUUCGGGUUGUAAAGGUCUGUUUAUCGGGACGAAAGGCCUUCUUGCUAAUAGGGAGAAGGAUUGACGGUACCGGAAUAAAAAGCCCCGGCUAACUACGUG